UUGCUGAAUUUAGGAAAACAAACAUGGGAGGUGGCAAGGAUGAUGAGACGUCUGAUAAGGGGCUGUUUUCACAUCUUCAUCAUGGUCAUGGUGCUCCGGGCUACGGAUAUCCUCCAGGACAGUAUCCUCCUCCACCCGGCCAAUAUCCUCCGCAGGGCUAUCCUCCACAACAAGGCUACCCGCCAGCUGGGUACCCGCCACCGGGGGGUUAUCCCCCACCCGGUGGAUACCCGCCAUCCGGUUACCCACAUGGUGCUCAUCC
rnacentral:lncRNA from 1 species